rnacentral:rRNA from 1 species
GGAAGUAAAAGUCGUAACAAGGUUUCCGUAGGUGAACCUGCGGAAGGAUCAUUAUUGAAUAAACUUGGUUGGGUUGUGCUGGCUUUUCGGAGCAUGUGCACGCCUAGCGCCAUUUUUACCACCUGUGCACAUUUUGUAGAUUUGGAACAAUUCUCGGGUUUACUCGGUUUGAGGAAUGCUAUGCCAAAAGCUUAGCUUUCCUUGUGUUUCAAGUCUAUGUUUUUAUAUACCCCAUACGAAUGUAAUAGAAUGUCAUUAAUGGGCUUAUAGCCUUUAAAUUAAUACAACUUUCAACAACGGAUCUCUUGGCUCUCGCAUCGAUGAAGAACGCAGCGAAAUGCGAUAAGUAAUGUGAAUUGCAGAAUUCAGUGAAUCAUCGAAUCUUUGAACGCACCUUGCGCUCCUUGGUAUUCCGAGGAGCAUGCCUGUUUGAGUGUCAUUAAAUUCUCAACCUUUUCAGCUUUUACAAGUUGUAUUGGCUUGGAUGUGGAGGUUUUGCAGGCUUCUUAAGAAGUCAGCUCCUCUUAAAUACAUUAGCGGAACCUUUGUGGACCAGCUUUGGUGUGAUAAUAAUCUACGCCAUGGUUGUAAAGCAGCUUUAUAUGGGGUUCAGCUUCUAACAGUCCAUUUACUUGGACAAUUUCUGACAUCUUGACCUCAAAUCAGGUAGGACUACCCGCUGAACUUAAGCAUAUCAAUAAGCGGAGGA